rnacentral:rRNA from 1 species
AAGCAUUGUGAUGGACUUAAUAGUUGCUGACACAAUGUGAUUUCUGCUCAGUGCUCUGAAUGUCAAGGUGAAGAAAUUCAAUCAAGCGCGGGUAAACAGCGGGAGUAACUAUGACUCUCUUAAGGUAGCCAAAUGCCUCGUCAUCUAAUUAGUGACGCGCACGAAUGGAUCAAUGAGAUUCCUACUGUCCCAACUUACUAUCUAGCGAAUCCACAGCUAAGGGAACGGGCUUAGAACAAUCAGCGGGGAAAGAAGACCCUGUUGAGCUUAACUCUAGUCAGACUUUGUGAAUUGAUGCGUGGGGUAUAGAAUAGGUGGGAGCCGAAAGGCAAACUUGAAAUACCACUACCUGUGACGUUGAUUCGCUUAUUUACUCGAAUAGGAAAGAGGCAAUGCCUUCCAUUUCUGGCGCUAACCGGCGUGGCAAGCUCUCGGGGUGCGGCGUCCUCGGGCGUCGUUCUCUUCCGUGGGCCUCUGCCGCCGGGAUCUAAUGUAAAGACAUUUUCUGGUGGGGAGUUUGGCUGGGGCGGCACAUCUGUUAAAAGAUAACACAGGUGUCCAAAGGGGAGCUCAAUGAGAACAGAAAUCUCAUGUAGAACAAAAGGGCAAAAGCUUCCUUGAUUUGGAUUUCCACGGUAAGAAUACAAACUGCGAAAACAUGGCCUAUCGAUCCUUUAACCAACGCGUUUCGGAUCUAAAGUUAGAGGUGUCAGAAAACUUACCACAGGGAUAACUGGCUUGUGGCUGCCAAGCGUACAUAGCGACGUAGCUUUUUGAUCCUUCGAUGUCGGCUCUUCCUAUCAUUGCGAAGCAGAAUUCGCCAAGUGUUGGAUUGUUCACUCUUCAAAAGGGAACGUGAGCUGGGUUUAGACCGUCGUGAGACUGGUUAGUUUUACCCUACUGAUGAUAAAAGUGUAGGACCGUCGAGACAGUAAUUCGAUUCAGUACGAGAGGAACCAUUGAUUCGGAUAUUUGGUAUCGCGUUUAUUCGAACGGAUAGUGACGCAAAGCUAUCAUCCGACGGAUUAUGACUGAACGCCUCUAAGUCAGAAUCCACUCUAAACCGACGGUAUCGUCCAGCGGAGCUUAGGUGAUGCGCAUGCACGAAUAGGGCGGGGGGCUUCGGCCCUUCGUUCCGGAACCAUAAAGAAUGGGCCGUGUCUUCGGCGGGGGACGACUCGAGCCUUCGUCGGGGUAACAUAGGUCGUAUGAUAAUUUCAAACUUUGCUGGAUCUAAAAUCCUCUGUAGACGACUUUGU